GGCAGCCGCGGGGUCGGUGGCCCUUAGCGAGGCCUGCAGUGGCCAAGUGGGAGGCACCCCGCUGAUUGGGAGCUGCCUCUGGCUUGGCCUGCAGGUGUGCUGGACAGUGCCACAGGUGACUCUCUGACA